GAUGAAUGCUGGCGGCGUGCCUAAUACAUGCAAGUCGAGCGGUAAGGCCCUUCGGGGUACACGAGCGGCGGACGGCUGAGUAACGCGUGGGAACAUGCCCCAAAGUGAGGGAUAACGCACCGAAAGGUGUGCUAAUACCGCAUAUGGUCUUCGGAUUAAAGGAUUAUCCGCUUUGGGAGUGGCCCGCGUACGAUUAGAUUGUUGGUGAGGUAACGGCUCACCAAGUCGACGAUCGUUAACUGGUCUGAGAGGAUGAUCAGUCAGACUGGAACUGAGACACGGUCCAGACUCCUACGGGAGGCAGCAGUAAGGAAUCUCCCACAAUGGGCGAAAGCCUGAUGGAGCAACGCCGCGUGCAGGAUGAAGGCCCUCGGUCGUAAACUGCUUUAUGAGUGAAGAAUAUGACGGUAACUCAUGAAUAAGCACCGGCUAACUACGUGCCAGCAGCCGCGGUAAU
rnacentral:rRNA from 1 species